CCGUUGCUCAGCAUCUGCAAGGAGGAGGAGAAGGGGAAUAUCCCGGCAUCCACCACCCGAACAGAAGCUGGAUCCUUGAACAGCCCGCCCAGAGACUUGGGAUUCCCUUCCCGGGUGUCCCUACCUUGCUCUCCAUGCUGAGGCACCAUUCCGGGAGGGUCUGGAAGGGCUCGGGCUCCUCGCAGCCGGGCAGGACCCGGCUGAUGGCCGUGCCAUGGAUCCCGGUGGCCACCAGCGUGCCCAGGACAACGCCCACAUUGACCACACAGCAGGUCUUGACCUGCGGGAAGCACCCGGUGACACGGACCCCGGGAAGGGCUGCUUCCCACAUGGAUUAUUCAACCGGGAUCAGAGAUCUCCUGGAGAAGCCACCCAGUUUUGUCCUACUUAUCCCACAGUGAUUCCAAAGCUAUGAAGGACAAGUUUUGGAUGGGGGAAGCCUGACUGGAUGCUCAGGGGGGAUCAGCGAGACCCUCCCAAAUUCCCUCCCACCAGCACAGGACAAAAUUUAUGAGCCUGGUGGAACCAAACUUCUUUUUCCAACCCCAAAAUCUGUGAGGUUUUUUUCCAAAGAAAACAGAUUACGACAGAGAAAAGCUCUCCAAAGAAACUUGCUGCUUCCUGGGACAAACUUUAUAUCCUCAUAAAAAUACCCAAAGUCAA